rnacentral:rRNA from 1 species
AGCGUUGCUCGGAAUUACUGGGCGUAAAGCGCACGUAGGCGGUUAUUCAAGUCAGAGGUGAAAGCCCGGAGCUCAACUCCGGAAUAGCCUUUGAAACUAGAUAGCUUGAAUCACGGAGAGGUGGGUGGAAUUCCGAGUGUAG